UUACCCUCACUCCCUGCCGGGGCCAGCCCGCGGGCACUAAGUGAUGCCUGGAGAGCAGCACAGCGGCCCCCCGCCCCUCAUCGCCCCCCAGAGCCCGGGGAUCCCGCCCCGUGCUGGGCGCUGGACCAGCCUCUCGAGCGGGAAAUCUACAACCUUGAGAGACCUGGAGUUGCAUGUGGAGUCAAGUACAUAAUGAGUAAGUAAGUAAAAGAACUUUGAGUGAGGUUGGAAAGGAGAAAGGACACACCAGGCAACCUUAAUAUAAACAUCACUAUAUAUUCUAGACACCUCAAACAGGAGGGAAUUUAGAGAACAAAAAUAGUUUACAAUGGAUUGUAAUUGGGGAGAAAUUAACAGUUCAUCUUGAAUAUCAGGUAAGAAGUCUUCCUGGAGGUGAGACUUAGCCUGCACAGGUGUAUCCCAAAAGAACUGGAAACCCUAUUGCUCAAGAUAUUUAAAACUAGAUUGGACUGUAGAGAAUAAAUUCUACAUUGCUCAA